ensembl:snRNA U1 U1 spliceosomal RNA
AUACUUACCAUACCAUGAUUAUGAAGGUGGUUCACCCAGGGCGAGGCUCUGCCAUUGCACUUGGGUGGUGCUGAUCCUUGUGAAUUCCCCAAAUGCGGGAAUCUCAACUGCAUAAUUUCUGGUAGUGGGGGACUGUGUUUGCGCUCUCCCCUU